UACACCAUGUGGCUUUCUAUCCGCAGGAAGUGACUCUAGAUUUCGGCAAAAAGAAAGAAAAACGCCUGUGGAUGAGCAACUCUUGCUUUCAGCAAACAAAAGUCUAAAAAGGCUAAAAUCGUUUCUCAGAGCACGGAAGCUAACCUGGAUUCAGACAACGUGGAAACGCAUUAUAUCGGAAGAACAACCAAAGAGAAAAACUUACAAGGCAAAAACCAUUUCACAGACUGAGGUGUCCUACUUACUUCCGAAAGAAACGUUUCAAGAACGUUCAUUAGAGUCUACCUCAAGCAUGCAUGGACCGAAGACACGACGCUUGCUGAUCAUGAUGAGGACGAAAUGUGAAAACUCAAAAAUCAUUCAAAAAGCUG